rnacentral:hammerhead_ribozyme from 1 species
AAGCGAAACAACUAAGGUUCGCGCCUUAGUUGUCUGCCUAGAGUGGUUUCUAGGUACUGAUGAGCAGCCACAA